rnacentral:rRNA from 1 species
GCUUGCUUUUGACAGACUUAGUGGCGAACGGGUGAGUAACACGUAGGGAACCUGCCCAUGUACCCGGGAUAACAGAUGGAAACGUCUGCUAAAACCGGAUAGGUAUAGACAAGGCAUCUUGGCUAUAUUAAAGGACCUUCGGGUGCGGACAUGGAUGGACCUGCGGCGUAUUAGCCAGUUGGCGGGGUAACGGCCCACCAAAGCGAUGAUACGUAGCCGGCCUGAGAGGGUAGACGGCCACAUUGGGACUGAGACACGGCCCAAACUCCUACGGGAGGCAGCAGUAGGGAAUUUUCGUCAAUGGGGGAAACCCUGAACGAGCAAUGCCGCGUGAGUGAAGAAGGCCUUCGGGUCGUAAAGCUCUGUUGUAAGAGAAAAACGGUAAUGAUAGGAAAUGAUCAUUAAGUGAUGGUAUCUUACGAGGAAGCCACGGCUAACUACGUGCCAGCAGCCGCGGUAAUACGUAGGUGGCAAGCGUUAUCCGGAAUGAUUGGGCGUAAAGGGUGCGCAGGCGGAACCAUAAGUCUGAAGUAAAAGCCAUCGGCUCAACCGAUGUAAGCUUUGGAAACUGUGGAUCUGGAGUGCAGGAGAGGACAGUGGAAUUCCAUGUGUAGCGGUAAAAUGCGUAGAUAUAUGGAGGAACACCAGUGGCGAAGGCGGCUGUCUGGCCUGUAACUGACGCUGAGGCACGAAAGCGUGGGGAGCAAAUAGGAUUAGAUACCCUAGUAGUCCACGCCGUANACGAUGAGAACUAAGUGUUGGAGAGAUUCAGUGCNGCAGUUAACGCAAUAAGUUCUCCGCCUGGGGAGUAUGCACGCAAGUGUGAAACUCAAAGGAAUUGACGGGGGCCCGCACAAGCGGUGGAGUAUGUGGUUUAAUUCGAAGCAACGCGAAGAACCUUACCAGGCCUU